GUACACACCGCCCGUCGCUCCUACCGAUUGAAUGAUCCGGUGAAGUGUUCGGAUUGCGUCGACGAUGGCGGUUCGCCGCCGUCGACGUCGUGAGAAGUUCAUUGAACCUUAUCAUUUAGAGGAAGGAGAAGUCGUAACAAGGUUACCGUAGGUGAACCUGCAGAAGGAUCA
rnacentral:rRNA from 1 species